rnacentral:rRNA from 1 species
UUGAACGCUGGCGGAAUGCUUUACACAUGCAAGUCGAGCGGCAGCGCGGGGCAACCUGGCGGCGAGCGGCGAACGGGUGAGUAACAUAUCGGAACGUACCUAUUUGAGGGGGAUAACGCAGCGAAAGUUGUGCUAAUACCGCAUAAGACCUGAGGGUGAAAGUGGGGGACCGCAAGGCCUCACGCGAAUAGAGCGGCCGAUAUCUGAUUAGCUAGUUGGUAGGGUAAAGGCCUACCAAGGCGACGAUCAGUAGCUGGUCUGAGAGGAUGAUCCGUCACACUGGAACUGAGACACGGUCCAGACUCCUACGGGAGGCAGCAGUGGGGAAUUUUGGACAAUGGGGGCAACCCUGAUCCAGCCAUUCCGCGUGAGUGAAGAAGGCCUUCGGGUUGUAAAGCUCUUUCAGCCGGAACGAAACGGUACGCUCUAACAUAGCGUGCUAAUGACGGUACCGGCAGAAGAAGCACCGGCUAACUACGU